rnacentral:rRNA from 1 species
CCAGACUCCUACGGGAGGCAGCAGUGGGGAAUAUUGCACAAUGGGGGAAACCCUGAUGCAGCGACGCCGCGUGGGUGAAGAAGUAAUUCGUUACGUAAAGCCCUAUCAGCAGGGAAGAAAAUGACGGUACCUGAGUAAGAAGCCCCGGCUAACUACGUGCCAGCAGCCGCGGUAAUACGUAGGGGGCAAGCGUUAUCCGGAUUUACUGGGUGUAAAGGGCGCGUAGGUGGGCGCUUAAGUCAGGUGUGAAAACUCCGGGCUCAACCUGGAGACUGCACUUGAAACUGGGUGUCUUGAGGGCAGGAGAGGAAAGUGGAAUUCCUAGUGUAGCGGUGAAAUGCGUAGAUAUUAGGAGGAACACCAGUGGCGAAGGCGGCUUGCUGGACUGUAAAUGACGCUGAGGCUCGAAAGCGUGGGGAGCAAACAGGAUUAGAUACCCUCGUA